rnacentral:rRNA from 1 species
CGGACACUCUUCAAGGUGCUGCAUGGUUGUCGCCAGGCUCGUGCCGUGAGGUGUCGGGUUAAGUCCCAUAACGAGCGCAACCCUUACUGUUAGUUGCCAGCGGGUCAAGCCGGGAACUCUAACGGGAACUGCCACCGUAAGGUGAGAGGAAGGUGGGGAUGACGUCAAAUCAGCACGGCCCUUAUGUCCAGGGCUACACACGUGUUACAAUGGUCGGUACAAAGGGCAGCUACACCGCGAGGUGAUGCUAAUCUCUAAAGCCGGUCUCAGUUCGGAUCGAAGUCUGCAACCCGACUUCGUGAAGUUGGAUUCGCUAGUAAUCGCGCAUCAGCCAUGGCGCGGUCGAAUACGUUCCCGGGCCUU